rnacentral:rRNA from 1 species
GACGUAGGGGGCAAGCGUUGUCCGGAUUCAUUGGGCGUAAAGAGCUCGUAGGCGGCUUGGCAAGUCAGAUGUGAAACCCUCAGGCUUAACCUGGGGCCGCCAUCUGAUACUGCUAUGGCUAGAGUCCGGUAGGGGAUCGUGGAAUUCCUGGAGUAGCGGUGAAAUGCACAGAUCUCAGGAGGAACACCAGUGGCGAAGGCGGCGAUCUGGGCCGGUACUGACGCUGAGGAGCGAAAGCGUGGGGAGCAAGCAGG